GGGGAAUCUUGCGCAAUGGGCGAAAGCCUGACGCAGCAACGCCGCGUGCGGGAAGAAGGCCUUCGGGUUGUAAACCGCUUUCAGAAGGAACGAAACUGACGGUACUUUCAGAAGAAGGUGCGGCCAACUACGUGCCAGCAGCCGCGGUGACACGUAGGCACCAAGCGUUGUCCGGAUUUAUUGGGCGUAAAGAGCUCGUAGGCGGUUCAGUAAGUCGGGUGCGAAAACUUUGGGCUUAACCCAAAGCGUGCACUCGAUACUGCUGUGACUGGAGUUCGGUAGGGGAGCGGGGAAUUCCUAGUGUAGCGGUGAAAUGCUCAGAUAUUAGGAGGAACACCGGUGGCGAAGGCGCCGCUCUGGGCCGAUACUGACGCUGAGGAGCGAAAGCGUGGGUAGCAAAC
rnacentral:rRNA from 1 species